CAUUUGCGAACCCGCCAAAUGGAGGACGCAUUUGAUGGGCUCAGAAAUAAAAUUAGUACAGCUCCAUAUCUGCAUGGACUCAAUACUUUCAAACUCUCGGACUGAAAGAUAAGAACACACACACACAGGUACAGGAAAUACAGCCAGAUCGGAGCCUUUUCAGACCGCAGGUCCUUGCGCCCGCCCAGUGGAGAAAAUUGAUGCUCUGGAAGGAAAUACUCAGAGAAUCGGAUCUAGCGUCUCCUAACGCAGCUCGCAAACAAGCGAAAGGUUGAUGGUGCAGCUCUGUGCCCAAAGACUGAGAAGACAGGAAAGACAAAAGAAGAAACAGCUAAACUUCCAGGCAUACUCCAGGCAGGGGCUGGAGAAGGACUAACAACUUCCCAAGGAAGAGGCUGACUCUGGAUGGAGCCCUCAGAAAUCAGAAUCCAGGAUUUGGGGCUAUUAAGACACUGAAGCUCCUGACUUUUGAGAAUUUAAUAUGCCUUCAAGCAAAGUCCCUCACAUUUGCUAUCUCUUUGAAUGCUUGCCAAAACUCUUUUUUUUUUUUUUCUUUUUUUUAAAGAGAGA